AGUGAACUCUGGCGGUAGGCCUAACACAUGCAAGUCGAACGGCAGCACAGGAGAGCUUGCUCUCUGGGUGGCGAGUGGCGGACGGGUGAGGAAUACAUCGGAAUCUACUUUUUCGUGGGGGAUAACGUAGGGAAACUUACGCUAAUACCGCAUACGACCUACGGGUGAAAGCAGGGGAUCUUCGGACCUUGCGCGAUUGAAUGAGCCGAUGUCGGAUUAGCUAGUUGGCGGGGUAAAGGCCCACCAAGGCGACGAUCCGUAGCUGGUCUGAGAGGAUGAACAGCAACACUGGAACUGAGACACGGUCCAGACUCCUACGGGAGGCAGCAGUGGGGAAUAUUGGACAAUGGGCGCAAGCCUGAUCCAGCCAUACCGCGUGGGUGAAGAAGGCCUUCGGGUUGUAAAGCCCUUUUGUUGGGAAAGAAAUCCAGCUGGUUAAUACCCGGUUGGGAUGACGGUACCCAAAGAAUAAGCACCGGCUAACUUCGUGCCAGCAGCCGCAGUAA
rnacentral:rRNA from 1 species